GGGGUGGUGUAAUGGUGUAAAAUCACUCAAAUUCUUAAAAACAAAUUUAUUAUCCUGUGUAGCACUAGUGUUAGUAUCCUUGUAAAGAAGCUUUAGCAUGACAUUUCUACAAAAGAUUCUUAAAUCAACAAUAGUAUCAACUAAUCUACUCUGAUUUUUAGGAAUAAAGUUCAGGCCUUUACUCAGAAGCUGAAUGUCCUCAGAGGGAGCGUCCUCUUGGCGGGCCUUUCUCCAUUCGAACAGGUUUUCUUUCCCUGAAUGAAAACUAUCAUUGAAUACUUUCCUACACAGCCCGAAAGUUUGCAUGUUCCAUGGAAUUUGUUACAUGCACCUGACCUACCAACAACUCAAGCAGAUGGGACCGUGGUUGAAUGUUUCAUCCAAAGGACAGCACAGUCAGGAGUGCAACAUCCCCCUUAUGUUGCACUGUAGUAUCAGCAAUUAGUCUGUCUGGUGGGGAAACAGAACCCACAGCUUUCUGUACCAAGGGCAAGUGUGCUACCUUUUGUGCCACUGAGACUGACAUUUACACUGCCCAUCCCAUUCAUCCCACCCACUCCCCAUUUUCCCAUUUUUGCACAUGGGGUCAGGGUGUCACUUCAACAGUGACAAUCAUCUAGAGCCAAGGUUCACACAGAUGGAUGGCUAGCCCUGCCUUGGCUGUUCUUUCAUAUCAUACACUCGCAUGCACAUUUAUGACCAAUUUAGAGUGUCUGAUCC